rnacentral:snRNA from 1 species
AUCGCUCCUCAGCCUUUUAGCUAAGAUCUAGUAUAGUGUCUGAUCUUAUCAGGGGUUGUAUCAGAUAUUAAGCUAUCUGGGGGUUACAUAUUAAAUAGAUUUUUAGAACAGAGAGGAGGAGGAAGAACAUGCUCUGUCCUUGCAUUGACCUGGUAUUGCAGUACCUCCAGUGGGGAGGGUGUCUUU